rnacentral:rRNA from 1 species
UACGAAGGGUGCAAGCGUUACUCGGAAUUACUGGGCGUAAAGCGUGCGUAGGUGGUUCGUUAAGUCUGUCGUGAAAGCCCCGGGCUCAACCUGGGAACUGCAGUCGAGACUGUCUAGCUAGAGUAUGGGAGAGGGAAGUGGAAUUUCAGGUGUAGCGGUGAAAUGCGUAGAUAUCUGAAGGAACAUCAGUGGCGAAAGCGACUUCCUGGACCAAUACUGACGCUCAUGUGCGAAAGCGUGGGGAGCAAACAGG